CGACAAGGGGACCCAGGGAGUGUGGCCCAGCGGGGCUGCGGGGAGCUGCUGAGUGGAAGCGUGCACGCACGUGAAUUGGGUUCCCAUCGUGGAAAGGCAUUGUUGUAGGUGUGGAGGACACAGGUGGGUGGCAGGUGGUCCGCACAUGUGCGAGAUUCUUCUUGUGGAAAUCGGAAUAAUCACGUGGGUGGCGCUGUAAGGGAGAGUCCCUGUCUGGGGGAGUGAGAGAAAGCUGUGAGCAGAGGUAUCCUCUGCCGUGAGCAUUCCCGUCGGAGCUCUAAGGACAUGCGAAGGCUCGAAGUCCUGGGCAUCCAAAAUGUAUUUGUGAAGUGCAGUGGUAACCUGGUGUGACUUCAGUGUAAGGUGUAUCAGAGGGAGGGGUUGGGAAAGGAAGUGGAAAUGUGGGUUGGGGUCAGAGAGUACAGAAUCUUCUGUGAGUGCUCGUAGGUGUGCAUUCUAUCUGAAAGGAGUGGGAAACGUUUAAGCAGGGUUGGCACCAUCAAAUACCUGUUUGGAGAAGCUAACUCCGGUGACGUUGGAGGACAGAUUGAAACUGGAGAGAGGCUGGGGGCACGGAGAAUUAUAAAGGUGUGUGGAUGAUCGAUGCUGAGGGCCUGAUCUAGACCAUGGUGUUGAGUCGAUGUACUGGAUUUGAGAUAAAAUGAUGAGUUAGAAGCAACGGGGCUUAGAAAAUGGGACAAAAAAAGGAGAGGCUGACUCUGAAGUCUUGAACUUAGGGAACUGGGAGAUGCUCGUGGCAUGAACAAAAGGAAGGAAUUGGGCUGGAUUAGCAUGAAGACGUGAUGCCCAUUUAUGUAGACCAUACUCCACCUCAACCCAGAUACAAAGACAGGUCAGCUUCCGGGAUCUGAGCCUCCCCUGCUGUGACCACUAUGUUAGAGCCACAGAAGACAUCAGUCUUUUCUGUGCAAUGGGUAGGAGGACAUUGUCCAGCAAGGGCUAGUUUUUGUUGUUUUUUUCCAAUGGAAACUUAGGUUUUAGAGUAAGUUUAGAUUUACAGAAAAUUGAGAAGAAAAUACACCGAUUUUCCAGAUACAGAUGAUGGUUCCACUUAGGAUUUUUCAACUUAACGAUGGUGCAAAAACAAUACACAUUCAGUAGAAACCAUACUUUGAAUUUUGAAGUUUGAUCUUUUCCCAGGCUAGCGACAUGCGAUCCAACCCUCUCUCAUGAUGCUGGGCAGCGGUAGUGAGCCCUGGAUCGCAGUCAGCCACGCGAUCACGAGGGUCAACAACCAAUACGCUUACAACCGUUCUGCACCCAGCCAGCCAUUCCGAUUUUCCCUUUCAGUACAGUGUUCACUAAAUUACAUGAGAUAUUGAACACUUUAUUAUAAAGUAGGCUUUGUGUUAGAUGAUUUUGCCCAACUGUAGGCUAAUGUAAGUGUUCUGAGCACGUUUAAAGUAGGCUAGGCUCACCUGUGAUGUUUGGUAGGUUAGAUGCGUUAAAUACAUUUUUCACUUACAAUGUUUUCAACUGAGGAGGGGUUUGUUGGGAUGUAAGCCCAUUGUGAGUCGAGGAAGAUCUGACUCGUCGCCUGGUUCCUCCUAUUAUUAACACCUUAGAUUACUGUGAUACCUUUGUUCCAAUGAAUGAACCAGUGUUAAUGCAUUAGUAUUACUAAAGUCCAUAGUUUAUUCAGAUUUCCUCAGUUUUAAAAAAAAAUCUAAUGUCCUUUUUCUGUGCCAGGAUCUCACCCAGGACACCACAUCAUAUUUAGUUGUCAUGUCUCCUUAGACUCCUCGUGGUUGUGACAGUUUCUCAGGCGUUCCUUAUAAUUGACGACCUUGAGAGUGUUGAGGAAUAUUCAUCAAGUGCUCAUUCCUCAGGAUUUGUAUGAUGUUUUUCUCAUGGUUAGACGGGGUUUAUGGAUUUGGGGAAGAUCAGAGAAGUGAAGCACUAUUCCCAUUACAUCACAGCAAGGGUACAUACCAUCAACAUGACUUACAGCUGUUGACGUUGACCUUGAUUACCUGGCUGUGGUGGUGGUUGCCAGGUUUCUCCCUUUCUGUAUUGUACUCUUCGGAAGGCAGUCACCACGUGCAGCCCAUAGUUAAGGAGCGGGGAGUUAUGCUCUAUUUUUUGAGGGAGGAAUAUUUACAUAAAUUAUUUGGAAUUCUUCUGCACAAGAUAUUUGUCUCUUCUCCCCCAUUAUUAAUUUAUUCAAUGGUUUAUUUUAUGUCUGUAAGGUUGCAUGAAUAUUUAUUUUAUAAUUUGGGUUAUAACCCAGUAGCAUUGAUACUUUAUUCAUUUUGUUGCUGGGAUUGCUUUAACUUUGCCCACUGGGGGCUCUUUCAGUUGCUCCAGUGAGGGGUACUUGUGAGGGGUACUUGUAAGGACCAUGUUGUGCUGUGCUCUGUGCCAGCAAGAGGGCUGGGAGGCCUGUCACAGGACAGCAGAGGUUGCGAGGUCCCAGAGUCCUGAAUGCACAGCAGGGGACUUUGGGUAACUCCAUGCAGCAACUGAAAGGUCCUCUACAUUCUUAAGUACAAGAAUGACAUGACGAAUAGUGUGUUGGAAGGUUACUUUGGAAGCUCUAUGAAUUGCAUAGUUUCAUUUGUUCAUUCAUUUAACAAACGCUUAUGGAAGUUUUUCUGCCACCUGCUGGGGAGCGAGGGUGGAUCAUGAUGGGGAAAGAAUACUAACAUUUACGGAGCACCUACCUGCCUGGUACCUGGUUCUUUACACACUGGAUUUCAUUAGAUUCUCACAGCAACCCAAUGAGAUAGAUACUCUUUUCAAUAUUUUACAGAUAAGAACACUGUUUUCAGAGAGGUUAAGUAACUGGUUUAAGGCCACACAGCUGGUAAGUGGCAAAGCUGAGAUUUGAACAGAGAUCUGUCUCAUUCCACAUGAGGUUAGUUAAGAAAGUCACCGAUUUUUUGCUACUUCUUUCAUUGAGAAGUAGAAUUUAAUUUGCCUUCCCUGGAAUCUGGACUAGUGGUUUCGACUUUAUUCGAUUUAUCUGAAUUGAGCAGAAGUGACAUUCUGGAAUUUACAAGGCUAGAUCAAAAGAAUCAUAAAGCUUUCUCCCUGGCCUCUUAGAAAGCAUGUUUUUGCAGAAGCCAGCUGCCACGUGGCAAGCCCAGCACUACCCUGAGUCUGCCAUGCUGUGAGGUGGCCAGAGCAAACCACAAGGACAGGUCUGCCCAGUUCCCACUUGUUCCAGCCACGUUAGUCCAGGCACCAGAAAGGUGAGCGAGGGUGCCUUCUGAUGAUUCCAGGCCCAGCCAGCACCUGACUGCAAUUGCAUGAGAGACCCUGAGGAAGAACCACCCAGCUGAGCCCAGUCAACCCUCAGAACCAUGAGAGAAAAUAAUACGUAGUUGUUCUAACCCACAGCGUUAUGGGGUAGUUUGCAGCAAUGUGUAACUGGAACACCAGCAAACACAGGUGUUCUUUCUCUGUGCUGUCUACCUUCCACGGUGACAGGGUUCCUCCACUGAGGCAAAGAGCAUAGGAGACCAUUACAUUAAAGUAUUGAGGACACUGUAGGGGCCUGACUGGAGCUGGGUGCUUGUGGACAAGCAGAGGCAGAGCUGGGAACCACCUUAAGAGAAGAACUUGCGUUAGAAUAUAAAGUAGAAUUGCAUUAGCGCUCGUUGAUGGGAAAGAGAAUGAGUUCGUUAUCAGAUAGUCUUGAGUUGCAAUUCUACUUUCUCACUUCCAAGAUGUCUGACUUUGGGCAAAUUACUUUAACUCUCUAAGCCUCAACUUCCUUGUCUUUAAAGUUCAGAUGAUCUGAUGAUAAUAAUAUCAGAUGCAAUGAGGUAACAACAGGUGUUCAAUAAAUGUGUUCCUGUAGUUUUCUAAGCAUAUCUAUUUUAUAGCACCUGUUCUGCUGCAUUCGAAUUGUUUAUUUUCUAGCCUGUCUCCCAAAUAGACUUUGAAAUUUCUUCGGGAAACAAGAUUAUAUUAUAUAUUUUUGUAUUCUUGGUGGCCAGCAGAGUAAAGAGAGUGGAUGUUCAAAUAAUUGUGGAAUGAAAGAAGGGAUUGAUAUCAUCGUGGCUGAGGAAUGAAAGAAGGAUGACUUGCCUCUCUGGUUAGGAAGCCAGAAGUAACAUUGGUUAACAGGGGGAGAGCGACGCUGAACAAAUCACGAACCAACUUGUCCGAAUAACUAAGUUCUGGCCGACGGGAUAUGAACAGAACUGACUUUUACCGUUUCUGGAGUCCUGAAGAGAAAUCUUUCCUCUGGCCCUUUCCUAUUUCCUGCUGGAAGAUGAUGAGAACUGAAAUGGCAGCCUUGGACCUCAAGAUGGAAGCUGCAUUUUGAGGAUGACAGAAUCUCCUUAUAGCUUUGAACUAAUGUGACAGAGAAAAUGAACUCCCACCUUGUUUCAGCUGUUGUUUCUUUGGAUCUCUUUGUUAUUGCAGCUGAAAGAAUGUGGGGAACUCUGAAAGAGGAAAGGUCUCGAUGUGAGUCUAAUAAGCACUAACAAUUAAGGGAUGUGUGUGGCAGAGAGUCCUCAUACGUGAAAUUGAUGAAGAGACUUUGCAGCUGAGGAUUAUCCUGGCUACACCAAGACGUAACAAAGAAACGAAGGAAAAAAGCCCAUGAACCCAGGAGACCUGGAAGUUACUCAGAUAUAAGGACAGCAGAAGACACCAUUUCUAUCUUCUGAGGCUGUUAGCUGUACAAACAUUCCUGAAAGAAGAAAAGGCUGUCAGCACCUCUAUGCAGAAGAUGUGCAGAAAUGAGAAAGACCCAGGCAGUGUUGUCUCCCGGCACUAAAACCCAUGUCACCAGUUGUGUGCUGUUCCUUGAAUUCCUGUAACAACCUGUAUGUUCUAUGAUCACAGCACUUCUUGAAUUGCUCUAAGCCUUGCUUGUCUGGAGAGGCCGUGUCCUUACUAACAUAUUUACCAUAUCCAGCUGGGUACCAGGUACAGAGUAGACAUUUGGCAAAGUUUAUGAGAUAUAGGCUUUAAAGAUUUUUUACUAUCCUUUAAAUAUUUUCUGGAUUGGUUUUCAAGUU